rnacentral:rRNA from 1 species
UAGGGAAUCUUCGGCAAUGGACGAAAGUCUGACCGAGCAACGCCGCGUGAGUGAAGAAGGUUUUCGGAUCGUAAAACUCUGUUGUUAGAGAAGAACAAGGACGUUAGUAACUGAACGUCCCCUGACGGUAUCUAACCAGAAAGCCACGGCUAACUACGUGCCAGCAGCCGCGGUAAUACGUAGGUGGCAAGCGUUGUCCGGAUUUAUUGGGCGUAAAGCGAGCGCAGGCGGUUUCUUAAGUCUGAUGUGAAAGCCCCCGGCUCAACCGGGGAGGGUCAUUGGAAACUGGGAGACUUGAGUGCAGAAGAGGAGAGUGGAAUUCCAUGUGUAGCGGUGAAAUGCGUAGAUAUAUGGAGGAACACCAGUGGCGAAGGCGGCCCCCUGGACAAAGACUGACGCUCAGGUGCGAAAGCGUGGGGAGCAAACAGG